rnacentral:rRNA from 1 species
GGGGAAUAUUGCACAAUGGGCGCAAGCCUGAUGCAGCAACGCCGCGUGAGGGAUGACGGCCUUCGGGUUGUAAACCUCUUUUAGUAGGGAAGAAGCGAAAGUGACGGUACCUGCAGAAAAAGCACCGGCUAACUACGUGCCAGCAGCCGCGGUAAUACGUAGGGUGCAAGCGUUGUCCGGAAUUAUUGGGCGUAAAGAGCUCGUAGGCGGCUUGUCGCGUCUGCUGUGAAAUCCCGGGGCUCAACCCCGGGCCUGCAGUGGGUACGGGCAGGCUAGAGUGCGGUAGGGGAGAUUGGAAUUCCUGGUGUAGCGGUGGAAUGCGCAGAUAUCAGGAGGAACACCGAUGGCGAAGGCAGAUCUCUGGGCCGCUACUGACGCUGAGGAGCGAAAGCAUGGGGAGCGAACA